rnacentral:misc_RNA from 1 species
GAAAUGCGAUACGUAAUGCGAAUUGCAGAAUUCAGUGAAUCAUCGAAUCUUUGAACGCAAAUUGCGCUCUCGGGUUACCCCCAAGAGCACACCUCUCUGAGUGUCGGUUUAACCAAAUGUCACCAAUUUAUUGGUGUACGACAGUCUGAGGGUAAGGGGUCUCGGCCUCUUUCCCUUUAAAUCUCAGCCACACGACUGUGUGUGUUCGUGGCAAGUUGCUUUCACUUAAUUGUGAAUCCAAUCCAUGGACCCUAUGUUGUGUAGCCAAAAGAAACAAAUGAACAAAGUUGUGGAUCUGCGAAGCUUGCUUCAAGGGUUCGUGCUUUGCGCAUCUAUGAAUUAGACCUCAGAUGAAGUGGGAAGACCCCCUGAAUUUAA